UACGUGGGGGCGAGCGUUGGCCGGAGUUACUGGGCGGAAAGCGCUUGGUGGCGGUCCACCAAGUUUGGGGUGACAGUUGCCGACUUAAUCGGCAAAGUGCCUCAAAGACUGGCGGACUUGAGGGCCACAGAGGGACAUGGAACUCCAGGUGUAGUGGUGAAAUGCGUAGAUAUCUGGAAGAACACCAAAGGCGAAGGCAGUGUCCUGGGUGGUCGCUGACGCUGAGAGGCGAAAGCCAGGGGAGCGAACGGG
rnacentral:rRNA from 1 species